UUGUUGGGUAGGGGAGCGUUCUGUAAGCCUGUGAAGGUGUGUCGUGAGGCAUGCUGGAGGUAUCAGAAGUGCGAAUGCUGACAUAAGUAACGAUAAAGCGGGUGAAAAGCCCGCUCGCCGGAAGACCAAGGGUUCCUGUCCAACGUUAAUCGGGGCAGGGUGAGUCGACCCCUAAGGCGAGGCCGAAAGGCGUAGUCGAUGGGAAACGGGUUAAUAUUCCCGUACUUGGUGUUACUGCGAAGGGGGGACGGAGAAGGCUAUGUUGGCCGGGCGACGGUUGUCCCGGUUUAAGCGUGUAGGUGUGUGUUCCAGGUAAAUCCGGUUCACUUUAACACUGAGGCGUGACGACGAGGCACUACGGUGCUGAAGCAACAAAUGCCCUGCUUCCAGGAAAAGCCUCUAAGCAUCAGGUAACAUCAAAUCGUACCCCAAACCGACACAGGUGGUCAGGUAGAGAAUACCAAGGCGCUUGAGAGAACUCGGGUGAAGGAACUAGGCAAAAUGGUGCCGUAACUUCGGGAGAAGGCACGCUGACACGUAGGUGAAGUGAUUUACUCAUGGAGCUGAAGUCAGUCGAAGAUACCAGCUGGCUGCAACUGUUUAUUAAAAACACAGCACUGUGCAAACACGAAAGUGGACGUAUACGGUGUGACGCCUGCCCGGUGCCGGAAGGUUAAUUGAUGGGGUCAGCGCAAGCGAAGCUCCUGAUCGAAGCCCCGGUAAACGGCGGCCGUAACUAUAACGGUCCUAAGGUAGCGAAAUUCCUUGUCGGGUAAGUUCCGACCUGCACGAAUGGCGUAAUGAUGGCCAGGCUGUCUCCACCCGAGACUCAGUGAAAUUGAACUCGCUGUGAAGAUGCAGUGUACCCGCGGCAAGACGGAAAGACCCCGUGAACCUUUACUAUAGCUUGACACUGAACAUUGAGCCUUGAUGUGUAGGAUAGGUGGGAGGCUUUGAAGUGUGGACGCCAGUCUGCAUGGAGCCGACCUUGAAAUACCACCCUUUAAUGUUUGAUGUUCUAACGUGGACCCGUUACCCGGGUUGCGGACAGUGUCUGGUGGGUAGUUUGACUGGGGCGGUCUCCUCCUAAAGAGUAACGGAGGAGCACGAAGGUUGGCUAAUCCUGGUCGGACAUCAGGAGGUUAGUGCAAUGGCAUAAGCCAGCUUGACUGCGAGCGUGACGGCGCGAGCAGGUGCGAAAGCAGGUCAUAGUGAUCCGGUGGUUCUGAAUGGAAGGGCCAUCGCUCAACGGAUAAAAGGUACUCCGGGGAUAACAGGCUGAUACCGCCCAAGAGUUCAUAUCGACGGCGGUGUUUGGCACCUCGAUGUCGGCUCAUCACAUCCUGGGGCUGAAGUAGGUCCCAAGGGUAUGGCUGUUCGCCAUUUAAAGUGGUACGCGAGCUGGGUUUAGAACGUCGUGAGACAGUUCGGUCCCUAUCUGCCGUGGGCGCUGGAGAACUGAGGGGGGCUGCUCCUAGUACGAGAGGACCGGAGUGGACGCAUCACUGGUGUUCGGGUUGUCAUGCCAAUGGCACUGCCCGGUAGCUAAAUGCGGAAGAGAUAAGUGCUGAAAGCAUCUAAGCACGAAACUUGCCCCGAGAUGAGUUCU
rnacentral:rRNA from 1 species